AGUGAACGCUGGCGGUAGGCCUAACACAUGCAAGUCGAACGGCAGCACAGUAAGAGCUUGCUCUUACGGGUGGCGAGUGGCGGACGGGUGAGGAAUACAUCGGAAUCUACUUUUUCGUGGGGGAUAACGUAGGGAAACUUACGCUAAUACCGCAUACGACCUACGGGUGAAAGCAGGGGAUCUUCGGACCUUGCGCGAUUGAAUGAGCCGAUGUCGGAUUAGCUAGUUGGCGGGGUAAAGGCCCACCAAGGCGACGAUCCGUAGCUGGUCUGAGAGGAUGAUCAGCCACACUGGAACUGAGACACGGCCCAGACUCCUACGGGAGGCAGCAGUGGGGAAUAUUGGACAAUGGGCGCAAGCCUGAUCCAGCCACACCGCGUGGGUGAAGAAGGCCUUCGGGUUGUAAAGCCCUUUUGUUGGGAAAGAAAAGCAGCAGGUUAAUACCCCGCUGUUCUGACGGUACCCAAAGAAUAAGCACCGGCUAACUUCGUG
rnacentral:rRNA from 1 species